CCAAUUCCCUUCUUUCCCGAUUCCACUUUCUUUCUCAGCCAUUCUCAGCCUCUACCUUCUAUUUCUCUCCCCCGAUUCCCUUUUCUUUCCCAAUUCCCUUUUCUUUCUCAGCCUUUCUCAGACUAAGCCAUUUCACCCCAUUGCAAACCCGAAACCCUCAUUUUCCCCCAAAUCAUAGUUCCCUAAAACCCUAAAAUUUCCCCAAAUCAAACCCAUUUGUUGUCUCCCUCUCUCUUUUCGAUCGACAGGUAUUAUAAUUUUCUAAUCAAACCCAAAGCUCCUUCUUUCAUUUUGAUUUCAUUGCAGCAAGCAAGCCGUUUAUUUUUUAUUUCAUUUCGACUUCGAUUUCACUUCUGUUUUAUUUUUGCAGCAAGCAGAAAGAUUAAGGGAUUUCAUUUUGAAAUCAAACCCGAUUGAAGGCUACCUUUGGCGAGUCCAUCAAAUCAAGGUACUCUCAUUUACUUGUUCUUUUGAACCCUAUACUUUAGCAUGCUGACAUUUAUAUUUUUUUUCUUUUGUGUUCUUUAGUAUAUGCCAUUUAUUGGGAAUUUUAUUAUUGUUCUCUUUCCCUCUGCGUAUGUAGUUAGUUUCCUAUUAUGGGAAUUUAUUUUGUUGGUUUUGACUUUUGCGUUUGAUUUUGGCUUUUUGGUUCUUUGAGUCGGAAGAUUGAUGGCCUUUUAUGGGCUAGUUUGAUUUAUAUUAGCAUUUGAUUACACAUGAUUGGAAAAAACUUUAAUAUGUAUAGAUUCUCCAAGACUAGAAACUUUAUCCUUGAUGUUUCAAUACCGUAAACAUGUUUUCGGUUAUCAGUUUAUUGUCUUCUCAUGUGAUCAUUGGUAGAAGCAAUUCCUUGUUGGAUUAGAUAGUUCAGGUUAGAUAACCCGACCUAUAUUGAAUUGCUUGCUCUAUUUAUUGUGUUUUGGUUUCAAUGGUCAAUAUUCUGGGCUUAUUAAACUCUAAAAAUGCGUGUCACCAGUCAUCCUCAUGAAAAUAUGCCUCAAAAACACUCUUUGCUUCUGCUGUUGUGCUUGUGCUGCCUCACACUCAAAUAUUUAUGUUACCAAUCUUAGCUGGUCCAGUCACCUUUUCUUCCAUGAUCAUCUGCAUAUUGUGUAACGUUAAUACAUCCUUCCUUAUCCUGCAUUGCUUUUACACUGUUAAAUAGUGGGUAGUAGUUAUCCCUGAAGUUUUCUGGCGAACUUUAGAGUCAUAAAAACCCUGGCUAAAGACUUCCUGAUUCUGAAAUUUGUUGCCUUGCAUUGGAGGGCACCUAUUGAGCUUGAUGGUCUAUAUCUUUUCACAGAAACUGUAGAAAUUUCAAAACCUGUUACUUUUUGGAGAGAAGUUAUCUUAUCGUUUCCUUCUGUCUUGGUAACUGCAUAUUUGUUUUAUUUUCUCCUUAAUCCUCAAGUAAUGUUCUAAGAAAUACACUCAAUUGAAGUUUGGAGCAACUCUAUGAUCUUAUGAAUGUGCAGAGCAUGUUUGUAAUGUCUCUGUCAUAGUGGCUUCAUCAUAUGAUAUCAAUUACUAUGUUACACAUUGAUGGUUAGAAAGCUGUAAUUAAUUAUUUUUUAUUCAAUUUGAUGGCUCGGAAUAAAUUGUUUGUGGUGACGCAUGCAUAUUCACGUAACAGAUGAUGUGAUUGUUAUACAUAGCUAUUACAUGAGUUGAGACCUGAUGAGAGUAAGUUGGAGAAUAGCCCGUGUUAUCCAAAAAUUUGUAUUUUGUUCUAACAAUCACUCUUUUGCAUGCUACCUCAGUAUAUUACAGUGACAUCUGUGUCGGAUUAAUUGCUUGUCGGCUGGAAAAGAAAGAAGGUGGGGCUAUCCAUUCGUACAUCAUGACAUUGGGGUUAUCCAUUUGCCAGCAUAUUACCCUAGACUUCUGUGAUGAGUUAAAUGGAUUUAACUCAAUUGAAUAAUGAUUAAUUCACUUGUUUUAAGUGUUUUUUUUUCAUUUUAUAUUUUUUAUAUAAAAAAUAUAUAUACUUAAAUCACAAAAUGAUAACUAAACUAUACUUAUUUUCCCAAAUUGAUAUUUAAACUUUUUUGUUGUCAUAAGUGGUACUUAAACUAUACCACUUACCCAUUUUAUUCUGUUGUUAAAGAAAUUCCCUUAACCAAUCAUUUUGUGGCACGAUAUAAUUUUUAACUAAAAUAUCCAAAAAAAAAGAUUAAAUAUUAUUUCCUUUAUAAACAUAUUUAUCUUUUUUUGUUCUUCACCUAAAAGUUCUAGUGACAAAAAAUUCAAGAACUAAUCGAGAAACACAUUUGAACCUAGUUUUCGACAAUAAAGCUUAGAUUGCGAUGAGUUUUUUUUUUCUUUUUUAUUUUUUAAUAUAUUCUACCAGACACAUCGCAAUUCCAAGUAUCUAUGUUAGUGAUUUAGUAGCUCUUCUUAAAUUUGAAUCUCGAUGAUAAUUAGACUGGAGGAUGCCAUUACUGUAGUGAGGAUCCUUUAAAUAUUUACCUUUUUUUAAUAAAUUUUGAACUAGAGUGAACCGGCAAAAGUGUUGUUAAGAAGUUGAGGGUGUUACCGUAGCUCAACCAAUUUAAUAAUUUAGGUUGAUGCUAUAAUGUUAUUGAAAGGCAUAUUUGAGUCAGAUUAUUUUUUUUAUUUAAUUUGCUAAAUCUUUAUUUCUAGGAGAUUAUAUUUGGUAUGUAUUCCAUGAGCUAAUUACAAGGUAAUUACAAUUUCAAAUAGGUAUGUAUAUUUAAUUUGUUAAAUUUGUUUUUAACUUGUUUUUUAAUGGACCAUUAAUGGAUCAUGUUUUUAACUUAUUUCAAGUCUGUCCUUUGAUUAUUU
rnacentral:lncRNA from 1 species